rnacentral:rRNA from 1 species
CGCUGGCGGCAUGCUUAACACAUGCAAGUCGAACGGCAGCACGGGCUUCGGCCUGGUGGCGAGUGGCGGACGGGUGAGUAACACGUAGGAAUCUGCCUGGUAAUGGGGGAUAACCCGGGGAAACUCGGGCUAAUACCGCAUACGCUCUACGGAGGAAAGCGGGGGAUCUUCGGACCUCGCGUUAUCAGAUGAGCCUGCGUCCGAUUAGCUAGUUGGCGGGGUAAAGGCCCACCAAGGCAACGAUCGGUAGCUGGUCUGAGAGGACGAUCAGCCACACUGGAACUGAGACACGGUCCAGACUCCUACGGGAGGCAGCAGUGGGGAAUAUUGGACAAUGGGCGCAAGCCUGAUCCAGCAAUGCCGCGUGUGUGAAGAAGGCCUGCGGGUUGUAAAGCACUUUAAGCAGGAAAGAAGGCUUCAGGGUUAAUACCCUUGGGGAUUGACGUUACCUGCAGAAUAAGCACCGGCUAACUCCGUG